AGAGCACGCCACUUUUGAACGGAAAAAGUGAGAUAGAGCACGCCACUUUUGGCGUUUAGUGAAAGAGAGCACGCCCGCCUGUCCGAACCACGCCGUGGCUCUACCCGUCAUCGGCCACCUCCACCUCCUGAAACAGCCGCUCCACCGCAACAUCCACCGCCUCUCCCAGCGGGCCGGCCCCAUCUUCUCCCUCAAGCUCGGCGUCCGCCGCGCCGUGAGCAGCGCCUCGCCGAUCCAGCAGCAGUCGUCCAACAGCGGUGCUCCCGCCUCAUCGCCGGGCAGCAGCGAGUUCGCCGCGCCACCAGCCCGGCGUUGCUCGCUGCACACCUGCCGUCUCAGUUCGCUGCUGCUGUACCCGUCAGCCCGGCGCUCGGAGCAACCUCACCGCAGCUUGAGAGAAGCGACGCCAUCGACGUCGCGCGGCCUCGACGUUCGCGGCUCAAAGCUGCGUCGAAGGAAAGCGGCGACGUCGUCACAGAUUGCCUCCGUUUGUGAGAAAUGGCAUCGCUCCAGCCUCCCCUCCAAAAUUACCCGAUUGUGUCUAAUAACUUUGCUCCUGUCAGUCGAUCAUCAUCGCCACUCCACAGUUCUACUAGGGAUUUCACCACUACUGAUCAGACGACAAUGAACUCUACGACAGUAAUGACGGCGCUUCUCUUCCCCGAGUCUGGGAUCACGAUGCCUCCGAGCAUCACUGUCACAGAUAGUUCGGCGGAGAAUGCUAGAGCUACUGAUGAUGUUUCGUUCCCGGAAAUCGCUGCGGUGAUGACUGCCCAUACUGUCGGUGUCUCUACUCAGGCCGAUGGCCCUAAGGGCCUGAUCCCACCUCGCUCGAUCGGGACUGCCCAUCCGAAUGUGGUCAGUCCACCGUCUGCUUCGAAGGUGUCGCCGGUCUCUUUUGCAGAUAAACUGAAAGCUAGGGAUGGCAGUCCGACAGAGCAAGUUUCCAAGCCUAGGGACGUCCCCGCUCAUGACUUUACAAUCCUCCGGCCAGAGUUGGUGGAUCUCAAACGUUGCCUUGUUUUAGAGCCUUCUUUCCACCAACGACAAGUCCGGCAUUUCGCCCAUGCGGUUCACGGCCGGCUGAUCCUCCGCAAAGGUGAGUCACCUCGGUUUGCAGCGGAUCUUUGGCAGGAACUUCAGCAGCUUUGGAAACCGUCUGUUGGUUGGUCGAUUCAUCCUCUCGGAAAAGGUUACUUCACUUUUAAUUUUGCCACCGACGAGGAUAGGGCAGCGGCCUUCGCUAAAAUGACUUGGCGUCUACGCUCAGGUAUACUCCAUCUCCAGGCCUGGGUGCCGAAUUUUGAUCCCUACAAAGCGAAUUCAACCCUUGUUCACGUAUGGAUUAGAAUCUUUAACUUGCCACAUGAAUAUUGGCACCCAGAGGUUCUUUCCGGGGUCGCACGAGAAGUGGGUACGCCUAUCUUGAUUGAUGGUCAGUCUGCACAGGCUCAUGUGGGUCACUUUGCUAGAAUUCUUGUUGAGUUAGAUGUUUCGGCUGAUAUUCCUGAGGCUUUAGAUAUUAAGUGUGGCGACAUUGAUAAAAACCGAUAAAACUGAAGUAGCGACUUGAAUCUUCAAUCUUGAUCCAAGCCUUGAAAACUGAAAAGCAAUAAAAAUUCUAAAGCUAGAAAAACUAAAGUAUGAAUGCUAGGGUUCGGGUGUGUGUCCUCUAUAGGUCAAAAGAGGACCUAUUUAUAAGCUUCAGAUUUCCUUCGGAUCACCAUGGAAGUUGCCAUGCAAAGUAGAAUUCUAAAGGUAAUAGAAUCGUGUGAAAUAAGGCAACUCUCCAGCUGGAUGCGCGCUUCUGGAAAAUACUCCCACUCAUGCUAAAUUCGCAGUUCUCUGGCGAUUCCUCUGCACUGGAGACUUGAUUCCUCUGACUCCAGUGCAAUGGUGAUGUCUCUGCUCUGGAGAUGUCGGUUCCUCUGGAAAACGCCAGAUUAAUCCAAAUUCAUCCAAAACUGCAUUCUUCCAUCUCGAGAGCCUAAAUCUCCUGCAAAGCAUAAAAUACACCAUAAACGCACCNUUGUCCGAUUUGAUAAUGAAUAUGCAUGCGUAUUUGUGAAAGGAGAGCUACGCCACUUUUGAACGGAAAAGUGAGAUAGAGCACGCCACUUUUGGCGUUUAGUGAAAGAGAGCACGCCGCCUGUCCGAACCACGCCGUGGCUCUACCCGUCAUCGGCCACCUCCACCUCCUGAAACAGCCGCUCCACCGCAACAUCCACCGCCUCUCCCAGCGGGCCGGCCCCAUCUUCUCCCUCAAGCUCGGCGUCCGCCGCGCCGUGAGCAGCGCCUCGCCGAUCCAGCAGCAGUCGUCCAGCAGCGGUGCUUCCGCCUCAUCG
rnacentral:lncRNA from 1 species